UGAAUUGUGAUAUCUUUUUGACAUGAACAAGGCCGGAUUUGAUAGACUCCAGCAGCUUUCUGGGUCUCCAUUAGAAACUCAACCACUUUCCUGUCUCUUCACCAUCUCGUCUUUCCAGCACUGUGAUCCAAGCUGGGAUGGCAGCCCAGUUCUCUGGAUAUCAAACUGUGAAGGAGCACAAAAACUCUGUUCUGAUAUUUUUUUCCAGGGGCCCAAGAACCUCAAGGCUCUCUUAAAUAGGUUCUUUAAACAGGAGGCAGAUUGCUAGCAUUUGGGGCUGAAAGCUGGAGGUUAUUUUGGAAUGUGAAAGCUGCUUGCUACUUGGAUCCAUGACAACCAUGUAGACACUAUUCGCUUUAACAAUCUACACCAGCAUGGUAAGCCAUAUUCCAAAGCCUGAGUCUCACUGGUAAUUGUGUUGUGCAAUCAGCGGGAGUUACUAGGUGUAUGAGGCUUCAUGUUUCUAUCUUAAAGAGAGUAAUAUAAAAAUUAUUAAACAACAUAAGCAAGAAGCAAGCAGGAUAUGGCAACAUACCUUGAUUUAUGAACACUGUUUUACACACCAGACAAGUAUUAAGUUUCCCAGAAUAUCUCAGAAGGGAUGUUGCUAAGCAAAGAUGAUGGUGAAAAGAGUAUUUAAUUAAGAUGUCUGAUGCAAUUUAUAGGACUAACAGCCAUGCUCCAAACUAUUGCCACCAAGCAGAAAAGGAAAAAGGUCCAAAUACAAUGAAAACAAGAAUACUUUUAACUCAAGUUUAAGAACAAAUAUAGAAUGGUUUGUCUAUUUUUGGGUCAAAAGCCAAUUACACACAUCAGACAGCAGUUGACAAUCAAACUAGUUAUUAUUGGACAUGAUAUAAGGAGUAUGCUGACAAUUUACCAACAGCUGUGACUCCCAGCAGCUCUUCUUUUUGGCAUGUUCAUUUUACAUUUCUACAGAAUUACAGGAAUUUCCUAGAGGAUUCAAAAUAAACAAUCAAAACCCAACA
rnacentral:lncRNA from 1 species